GUUGUGAAAGCCCCNGNCUCAACCUGGGAACGGCAUCCGGAACGGCCAGGCUAGAGUGCAGGAGAGGAAGGUAGAAUUCCCGGUGUAGCGGUGAAAUGCGUAGAGAUCGGGAGGAAUACCAGUGGCGAAGGCGGCCUUCUGGCCUGACACUGACACUGAGGUGCGAAAGCGUGGGUAGCAAACAGGAUUAGAUACCCUGGUAGUCCACGCCGUAAACGAUGUCGACUAGCCGUUGGGACCUUUAAGGACUUAGUGGCGCAGUUAACGCGAUAAGUCGACCGCCUGGGGAGUACGGCCGCAAGGUUAAAACUCAAAUGAAUUGACGGGGGCCCGCACAAGCGGUGGAGCAUGUGGUUUAAUUCGAUGCAACGCGAAGAACCUUACCUACCCUUGACAUCCAGAGAAGUUGGCAGAGAUGCCUUCGUGCCUUCGGGAACUCUGAGACAGGUGCUGCAUGGCUGUCGUCAGCUCGUGUUGUGAAAUGUUGGGUUAAGUCCCGUAACGAGCGCAACCCUUGUCCUUAUUUGCCAGCGAGUNAUGUCGGGAACUCUAAGGAGACUGCCGGUGACAAACCGGAGGAAGGUGGGGACGACGUCAAGUCAUCAUGGCCCUUACGGGUAGGGCUACACACGUGCUACAAUGGCCGGUACAAAGGGUUGCGAGACCGCGAGGUGGAGCGAAUCCCAGAAA
rnacentral:rRNA from 1 species